rnacentral:rRNA from 1 species
ACUCCUACGGGAGGCAGCAGUGGGGAAUAUUGCACAAUGGGGAAACCCUGAUGCAGCCAUGCCGCGUGUGUGAAGAAGGCCUCGGUUGUAAAGCACUUCAGUAGGGAGGAAGGUAGUGUAGUUAACACCUGCACUAUUUGACGUUACCUACAGAAGAAGCACCGGCUAACUCCGUGCCAGCAGCCGCGGUAAUACGGAGGGGUGCGAGCGUUAAUCGGAAUUACUGGGCGUAAAGCGCAUGCAGGCGGCCUGUUAAGUCAGAUGUGAAAGCCCGGGGGCUUAACCUCGGAAUUGCAUUUGAAACUGGCAGGCUAGAGUCUUGUAGAGGGGGUAGGAAUUUCAGGUGUAGCGGUGAAAUGCGUAGAGAUCUGAAGGAAUACCAGUGGCGAAGGCGGCCCCCUGGACAAAGACUGACGCUCAGAUGCGAAAGCGUGGGGAGCAAACAGGAUUAGAUACCCUGGUAGCACAGAGAGUC